UACGUAGGGGGCAAGCGUUGUCCGGAAUCAUUGGGCGUAAAGCGCGUGUAGGCGGCCCAGUAAGUCCGCUGUGAAAGCCCAGGGCUCAACCCUGGGAUGCCGGUGGAUACUGUUGGGCUCGAGUCCGGAAGAGGCGAGUGGAAUUCCCGGUGUAGCGGUGAAAUGCGCAGAUAUCGGGAGGAACACCAAUGGCGAAGGCAGCUCGCUGGGACGUGACUGACGCUGAGACGCGAAAG
rnacentral:rRNA from 1 species